rnacentral:rRNA from 1 species
AGGAAACGUUAGCGACAGGACUAAAACAUGCAAGUCGAACGACCCAGUGGUCGUGGCGAACGGGUGAGUAAUGCACAAGAACCUGCCCUUUUGUUUGGGUAAUCCCAAAUAGUCUAGAAAGCCGGUGGCGCAGAAGGAUGGGCUUGUGGAGGAUUAGGUUGUUGGUAAGGGAAGGGCUUACCAAGCCGAGGAUCCUUAGCGGGGUUGGAAGACCGGUCCGCCACAUCGGAACUGAGAACGGUCCGGACUUCCUUGAGGCAGCAGUUAUGAAUCUUGGGCAAUGGGGGCAACCCUGACCCAGCCAUGUCGCGUGGAGGAUCGAUUUGUAGACGGGUUUCCAUGAAGCCCGGAAGGCCACCGCGUCGUAAACUCCUUUGAGCGCCGGAGAUAAUGACCGCCGGCGCAGAACAAGUCCUGGCCAAAUCCGUGCCAGCCGCCGCGGUAACAC